rnacentral:rRNA from 1 species
CUAAAGUUGUUGCGGUUGAAAAGCUCGUAGUUGGAUUUUGGGCGGGCGCAGCCGGUCCGUCGCAGGGCGUGUUACUGGUUGCGCUCGCCUCGCCUUCGGUUCUCCGUCGGUGCUCUUGACUGAGUGUCGGCGGUGGCCGAGAAGUUUACUUUGAAAAAAUUAGAGUGUUCAAAGCAGGCUGUUCGCCUGUAUAGUGUUGCAUGGAAUAAUGGAAUAGGACCUCGGUUCUAUUUUGUUGGUUUUCGGAGCGCGAGGUAAUGAUUAAGAGGGACAGACGGGGGCGUCCGUACUCUGCCGUUAGAGGUGAAAUUCUUGGAUCGGCGGAAGACGAACUACUGCGAAAGCAUUCGCCAAAAAUGUUUUCUUUAAUCAAGAGCGAAAGUCAGAGGUUCGAAGACGAUCAGAUACCGUCCUAGUUCUGACUAUAAACGAUGCCAACUAGCGAUCGGGAGGCGUUACCAUGACGACCUUCCCGGCAGCUUCCGGGAAACCAAAGUCUUUGGGUUCCGGGGGAAGUAUGGUUGCAAAGCUGAAACUUAAAG